rnacentral:tRNA from 1 species
GGGCGCGUAGCUCAGGGGUAGAGCGCUACAUUGACACUGUAGAGGUCAGAGGUUCGAGACCUCUCGCGCCCA